CCUGCAUCGUUGUGUCCGUUCCUCCAAUUUUUGCUCCGCCCAUGCCAUGCCUGUUCCUCGCCGGAGGCCACUAGACAAGCUCUGCCCCAUCACUUGCGCGAGAGGAAGCCACGGCGGCGCGCCGCCGGCUGCCACGCUGUUGACUCCGGCGGUGGCUGCGGCACUCGCGAUGGCAUGCUCAGCUUCCUUGUCGGCGGCGAGGAGGCCAUCCUCGCAUGCCUCGGGCUGCUCUUUGCCCACCUUGGUCGACUUCAACACGGCCGGUCAGGAGCGGCGAGCAGCAAAAUCGCGAGGACAGUUGGAUCAACGCGCAGCUCUGGCACUCCUGCUUGAAGAUGUGUGACGCUGACGCCUCGGCGUCUGCAAGGUGGAGCCCAGGCUGGAGGCCGCGCGUUCUGCCCUUGCGCGAUGGCUGCGACCUAUGCGCUGGUGAUUGGUGACGAGGAAGAAGAGGGUGGAGGGCAUGCCCUCGAAGAACCUGAUGGCAAAUCACCGCCGUCGCAAGCUACCUUGAUCAUCAAGGUAAAGAGACCAAACGUCCAUCGAAAGAAUAGGGGUAGAAUCCUGGGAAUAAAUCUGCAUGUGUGUUCUUGGUUUUGGGCAUCUAGAUGGAUAGAACGUCCAGCCUGGGGACACGAUCGACUACAUGAAAGAGCUAGAUGAUAGCGAGGAACACUCCUAAGGUGACCAAUCUAGGCCACCCAGUGUCGUCACGGGAGAGCCGCGUCAUUGCUGCUGUAGCUUGAAAAAAUGGUGAGAACAGGGGACUAGCCGAGGAUUGUUGGCUGAUGGUUGCAGAGCUGCAGUUCGAGGUGGAGCGCAAGCAAGGGCCGUGGUGAUACCCGGGUGGAGAUCUACAGUGCCGCCAAGCUGGGUCUGCUGCUAUCGACGGAACACACCGGGUACGGCGUUAGCUCACUCACCUCCCUAUCUAGCCCUAACUCUGCAAAACAAACCAGGUUCAAUCAAUCGAUCCAAGAGACAUACGUGGGAGUUUAUGAUACAUGCAUUGCAUAGGUAAAUAGCCCAUGUCGAUGAGGAGAGGAUAGGCAUGUACGGAGCAGAAAUAUUUUUUUCCUUUUCAUUCAAUAUUUUUUGGCUACCAAUCUGAUCUCAGUGGGGUGCGGCGCGUUUAGUUCGCUCAGGAGGGCACGCUGGAUCUGUGUCCAUUGCAGUUUUCCACUAAUUUGGUUCCUGAUCAAUUUUAUCGGUUUGUCGGGCGGCGGAUCGUUUCUUUCAGCUGCUUGCAUGAUGUGUAGGACUGGACGCGUGAUGUGACUACCUGCAUGCAUCAAUUGUUUCCCGUAUCUUCUUGACGGGCGUUUAAUGUAGGUGGUUGCGCCUUUUUCAAAUCUCCUUUGUGUGUCAUUGUUGUGCCGCUUUGAUUCCUAUUUUUCGGUGGCCCGCUUUGGUGACCAUUUAAUUGGUGCCUUCAUUGUGGGUCUAUAAAUAUGGAGAUUUAGUAUUGGGUUGUUUCACUGAUGCGUUUGAUUCCUGCUUCAUGGUGAUCCCCGCAGUUCUCGCCGUCUUGGGUCCUCCUUGUGGCAUCCGUGUUGGUGUUGUUGGUCAUGCCCAUGGUUGGCGAGGUCCUCCUUGUGGCAUCCGUGUUGGUGUUGUUGGUCAUGCCCAUGGUUGGCGAGCUGCUGCUGAUGGUUGGAAUCCUGAUGGUCGUGCCCGUAGUUCUUCUAACCAUGGCUGAGUUGCUGCUGAUGGUUGGAACACCGCCGCCUUGUGAGGAUGCGGACGGCUUUGACGACGUCCACACCGUGUUCGUGCAGGGGCAUCACCGCCUCCGUGUGGAGUGACCUCACGAAGGGUGUCCUCUAAUGCGACUGAUUUUAUUGCCGGUGAGGAGAAAGAGCAUGCACCCAUGGUUUUCAACCGUGUCCUGCAGCCGGAGGAACUCAGUAUCCUGCGAUAGGCCACCCACACGAUGGAAGAGAUCCACGCGUACCAGAAAUAACUGGAAGAAGGUUGGUACCAGCCGGUGUAGAUGCAUAUAUAUGUCUUAUCAUUUGGUCGAUCAAGUAGCAUGCAUGCAUGUCGGAAUAGUAGGGCACUUGACAAUGUUUCUUGAUCUUAAUAUGAACACUCUUUGCCUGUGAUUUGUGACUUGUAAGUAUGAUGUAUGUAGUACAUCCGGGUACUCUAAAGAAGGUAACUUCCGACACUGAUUAGUUAGUUCUCAAAGCCACACAUACUUGUUUCGCAAAAUAGAUGGUUCGUCACUAUGCUUUGGUAAUAUUUGUUUUAACUAAUGGUGUAUGGCUUUUCUUCAAAACUGUUCCAGUACAUACAUAAGGAAACUGGGUGCAAGCAGAAUUUGCGUUGCAUGUUUCUUUUUGUUUUGUGAUGACAUUUUCCAACCCUGCCGGUGGCGCCGCCAGCCCUGCCGGUGGCGGACGACACGCUGCUCGCCUGCGUCCGCGGCGUAUUGUACUGGAUGAGCGACCCGCCAGCAGGCUGUCGUAUUCCUUCGUCCCACACCAGCCGUUCUACCAGACAAGACGGAGGACAACAACAUGAACACCAGAGCAUGCGCGCAGCAACAGCGACCGGUGCCCAUGUCCGAGUGGCCGGAGCCGCCGGACCUUGUCAACCCAAUACGCGUGCCCCAUGGCCAACCGGGUCUUCGCGCCCGCGUCGAGGUCAAACUUGGACAUGGCAGCAACCACCGCCAUGUUUCCUUCUCCAACAGCCAGAUCUAGAAGGAAGGAGUGAUGCCGGAGAAAUAUCAAAUCCAAAUCUGCUUUAUUGUACAAGAGACAUGAAACUCCGCCAACUCAACUCUGGCGGUCGCGGGGAGAGAGGGGAGGGGCCAACAGCGUGAAAAUUGGGAGGGAGAAUCUGUUUCGCCAGGGAAGGAGAAGCCUCUAGAGACCCGGCGGUUGGCUCGGCACAACACAUCUCAAUCCCAAUCUCAGCCUUAGAUUACAGAUCAGACGGUUCAUAUGGCUCAAAGAUAGACACAUCAUCGCCAUCAACUCAUAUUUUUAUAGGAGUAGAGAUGGCUCCCGUAAAGAUCAGUAUCUAGACCUAGACGCGUGUGAAAUGGUGUGCUUCUUAAAAAGUAAAAAAAAAAAAAAAACAGGCUAUGCUUCUGCGAAGCAUAGUCUGUCCUACCCGAAAAGGGAAAGGCAAGAUGUGCUUUUCGAAAAAGAGAAAAGCACAACCGAUGCUUUCAUGAGUAGUAUAGUUGUGCUUUCCGAAAAUGGAAAAACAUAGUCUAUAUUUCCAUAAGAAGCACAGUCUGUGCUCCCCCCCUCCCAGAAAAAGUGAAAAGCACAACUCUGCUUCUGGAUUCUAGGUUUUUUCCUUAGGUUUUCAUUUGUUUUUUCAGGUUUUUAAUUUUUAUUUCUUUUUUG